rnacentral:rRNA from 1 species
AUACGUAGGGGGCGAGCGUUGUCCGGAAUGAUUGGGCGUAAAGGGCGCGUAGGCGGCCCGGUAAGUCUGGAGUGAAAGUCCUGUUUUUAAGAUGGGAAUUGCUUUGGAUACUGUCGGGCUUGAGUGCAGGAGAGGUAAGUAGAAUUCCCAGUGUAGCGGUGAAAUGCGUAGAGAUUGGGAGGAACACCAGUGGCGAAGGCGACUUACAGGACUGUAACUGACGCUGAGGCGUGAAAGUGUGGGGAGAAAACAGGAUUAGAUACCCUGGUAGUCCACGCUGUAAACGAUGAAUGCUAGGUGUAGGGGGUAUCGACCCCUUCUGUGCCGCAGUCAACACAAUAAGCAUUCCGCCUGGGGAGUACGGCCGCAAGGUUGAAACUCAAAUUAAUUGACGGGG